AAUAAAUUGAAGUUGGUAGAUGAUAGGGCAGUGGUCAGACAUUGCUUGGAGCCUGUCUGGAAUGGAGAAGUAAGGCACCUCCUUCCCACCACCAGCCUGAGGGUUCACCUUAGGCAAGUGAUAGUACCCUCUAGCCUCCCUAUCUGGGCACUGAUAUACACACCUUUCCUGAUGAUUACAGUAUUGAUAUAACAUUGAAUGUUUAAUGCUCAACAUGCCCUUUGUGGAUGCAGUGCACUCAAGUGUGAAGACCUUAUAAGAUAAGUUCAUGUGGCUUGCUAUUUUCCAUUUUACAUUUAUGCUAUGAUUUAAUUCCAUAUAAUUUUUCUUUUUUCCCAGACUGACAUUGAAGAAAAGAUUUUCUUUACCGUAUAGUGCAUCCAUGUAUCUCCUAUUUGGUUUUCAUCUAGGCAUAUUUCCUGACCAUUCUAAACUCAGCAAAGAAGGCCAACAGUCUCUACAGUGUACAAGUAAAAGACCUUUCCAUCAUCGCCCCUCUGAUGGUAUGUAACCUUUUGUGUUACCACUUGGAUAUGCUUUCCGAAUAAAGAAGUAAACACAAGCAGGUAAAGGCCGAGUAUUCUCCCAUCCCAUAGACCCACAAAACCAUCGCAUCAACCAUCUGUAUGCCACAGCUCUCAAGUACCUGAAGUAAAUAAAAAGUGGCCCGACGUUUUCAAGGACAGCCUCAUGAACUAAAGGCCCAAAUUUGGCAUGCUGUGUUAUGCAUGAUAUUUUCUCAAUGCUGCCAUCGAAUGUCAUUUUCUGCAAA